AGGAACUCCUCCUUCCUCUUACAAAAUGCUGAUCAUGAUAAGCUGUGCUCUGUGCUCACACUUGAGAUGGACAGACAGGAUGAUCUGUGUUUGAUGACAUCACUGCUUCCUGGCUUACAAUUGUUUCUGAAACCAGGACAGAACACCACCACCUUUCACAGGGCCCUAUCCACUGAAGUGUCAUGUGCUGGCAAGAUUUAUGUCAACUCAACACAAACUAUGGUCACGGUGAGAGGAAGAAAUCUUCACUGACAAAUGCCUUCAUAAAAUCUGGUUGUAGGACGAACCAAGAAAAGUUCAGUCUUCCUAGAAGCUGAGUUUCCUGGGAAACAUCUUGUCAUCGGGGCCUCAUCAUCAAAAGGAC